AGCGAACGCUGGCGGCAGGCUUAACACAUGCAAGUCGAGCGGGCACUUUCGGGUGUCAGCGGCGGACGGGUGAGUAACGCGUGGGAACGUGCCCUCUGGUUCGGAAUAACUCAGGGAAACUUGAGCUAAUACCGGAUACGCCCUUUUGGGGAAAGGCUUGCUGCCGGAGGAUCGGCCCGCGUCUGAUUAGCUAGUUGGUGAGGUAACGGCUCACCAAGGCGACGAUCAGUAGCUGGUCUGAGAGGAUGAUCAGCCACACUGGGACUGAGACACGGCCCAGACUCCUACGGGAGGCAGCAGUGGGGAAUAUUGGACAAUGGGCGCAAGCCUGAUCCAGCCAUGCCGCGUGAGUGAUGAAGGCCUUAGGGUUGUAAAGCUCUUUUAUCCGGGACGAUAAUGACGGUACCGGAGGAAUAAGCCCCGGCGAACCUCGU
rnacentral:rRNA from 1 species